UGUAUUCUUUUUAGACAAAGAACAAGAUGUAGAAGAAGAGGACAACAACGAUGACUUAGAAGCUGAAGAAGAAGAAGAGGAGGAGGAGGUUAAGAAUGGAGACACAGUCGAAGAGGUCAAGGUCAAGGUCGAGGUCCCUAUUUAGACACAGUGAUAGUUAGUUAGGUCUCCUCUCUCAUAUACUACAAACACAACAAAUCGACUAUUUAGACAGUGCUCCAUCUCCGUCUCCGUUGUUGAUUGGGUCUCUUUUGCUCUAGAUUCAGGUUCGUUCUUUCUCUCUCUAAUUCUCUCUCCCUCUCUUGAUCCCUCUCCCAUUGAAGACACUUGCGAAGUCUCGACCUUCGUAUUCUCAAGAUUCGCAAGAUUCCUCCUUUGUGGAUCCUUGUUUGGAGAUUUGAUUUUUAGUUCUAGCGGCAUUGGUGCUGAAUGUUGAUGGAGAGAGCACUGAGAAUGGUCAGCUUUUCGCCAAUUCCCUCUGGGAAAUUUUCCAUGACGUGGUUGGAAGCCUAUACAUGUUGCACCUGAAGUUCUAAAUAAGCGUUAUAGUUCAGAAGCAGAUGUUUGGAGCACUGGUGUGAUGAUUUACAUUCUCCUCUCCAUUUUGGAAACUGAACACGAAAUAUUUGAAGAGGCAUCUCUGAAAGUGCAAAAGAUUUAGUCAGGAAAAUGCUUGUUAGAGACCCCAAAAAGCGACUAACUGCACAUGAAGUUCUAUCAAAUCAUGCGCUUGGGUUUUGAUUGGGACUCUACUGACAUAAAUAUUCUGCUACUUGCUAAGUUCGUGAAGCCUUUAAUGGGAACUUCCCGGAUAGUCAUAAACAACAUCCACAUCAAGGGUGAAAAUUAAAGUCACAUCUAUGAAAUUGAAGAACUGGUAAUCGUUCUUUGCCACCGCUAGAGUAAAUCAGUUGAAUCGUGAAAUUGUCAACUAGCAAGAUGAGUGAAGAGAGUUCAAAAAAAAAUUUGAGAAAAGAAUUAGGAAAAAGCGUGAAGCUCUAAUUGCUGCGACAAUGGAUGAUCUUCAAGAUGUAAUAGAAAGUACAGUUGCAUGGACUAGUCAAUUCAUUUUUUUAGACUAAAUAUUAGAAUAAUUGAUUUACAGUUUGUAGUUAUGCUUUUUGGAUGUUUAAAGUCAUAUUUUAAAGAUUAGUGAAUCUUAUAAUUUGGAUAUAUUUUCUUGGUUUGUAUGUUUGAGGUUGUUAUCAACUUGAUAUGAUAGAAGUUGAGGACAGAAGUUAGUAUGCAGAUUGUUUGGUGUAUGGAUAUUAGAUUUUUUUACUUA